CUGCUGCUGCGCGCGCCGCCCCUUCCUCCCUGCCGCGCCCCGCUCUGCUGCUGCGCGCGUUGCCUGCUGCUGCGCGCGCUGCCUGCUGCUGCCUGCUGCGCUGCCUGCUGCUGCCUGCUGCUGCGCGCGCCGCCCCUUCCUCCCUGCGCGCGCCGCCCCUUCCUCCCUGCCGCGCUGCCUGCUGCUGCCUGCUGCUGCCCGCGUUGCCUGCUGCACUCUCU
rnacentral:lncRNA from 1 species